GACAGAGGUGCCGAGCGUUAGGCGGUAUCACUGGGCUUAAAGGGUGCGUAGGCGGCUUUGCAAGUUGGGUGUGAAAGCCCUCGGCUCAACCGAGGAAUUGCGCUCAAUACUGCCGAGCUUGAGAGAGACAGAGGUAAGCGGAACUAAUGGUGGAGCGGUGAAAUGCGUUGAUAUCAUUAGGAACACCGGUGGCGAAGGCGGCUUACUGGGUCUUUUCUGACGCUGAGGCACGAAAGCCAGGGGAGCGAACGGG
rnacentral:rRNA from 1 species